rfam:Robiginitalea biformata HTCC2501, complete genome.
CAACCUCUGACGAGGUACGUGCAUGUUG